CGGCGGAAGUGAACGCGCUGUCGCCGCAGCUAUUCACGGGCGGGGCUGCCGGCCGGCUGUGCCCCGCCGCUGCGGCGCCGACUGGGGAGCUCUCCGUGCCCCGCGCCGCCGGGCGCUCCCGGGCCUUCUCCUGCGCGUGUUUCACUCGGGUACGCGGGAGCUCGGGCCUGUGCCGGCCACCGCGGCGCCGCCGGGACGGACACGCCGCGAUGAACCGCUGAAGUCAUGGUGAAAUGCUGCUCAGCCAUCGGAUGCGCCUCCCGCUGUCUCCCCAACUCCAAGUUGAGAGGGCUGACUUUCCACGCAUUCCCCACAGAUGAAAACAUCAAAAGAAAAUGGGUAUUAGCAAUGAAAAGACUUGAUGUGAAUGCUGCGGGCAUUUGGGAGCCUAAAAAAGGAGAUGUGUUGUGUUCAAGGCACUUUAAGAAGACAGAUUUUGACAGAAGUGCUCCAAAUCUGAAACUGAAACCAGGAGUCAUCCCGUCUGUAUUUGAUUCCCCAUACCACUUACAGCAGGAGAAAAAAGAAAAGCUUCGUUGUAGGAAAAACUUCACCCUCAAAGCCCUUCCCGGCACAAAUGGCGACCACCAGCUUGUCGGUGCUCCCUCGUGUGUUGAUGAAUUCCAGUCCCAGUUCAUCUUUGAACAUAGCUACAGUGUGAUGGACAGCCCGAAGAAACUCAAGCACAAGUUAGAUCAUGUGAUCAGCCAGCUGGAGGACACCCAGGAAAGCCUGCGCAGUGUUCUAGACCGAGAGAAGUACUUCCAGAAAGCGCUGAGGAAAACAGUCAGGGACCUGAAGGACGAAUGUCUCAUCAGCCAGGAAACAGCAGAGAGGCUGGACGUGUUCUGCUGGGAGCCUCCCGGGGAGGGCGCCGAGCAGAGUGGCCCUGCAAGGUAGCCCUGGAGGGAUUUUGGAAGAUGCGUGGUGGUUUAGUGCUUGGUGUCGCUUGUGAUUCUUACGUUUUAUGUAGACUUUAACUGGCACCACUGUUUACUAUCGUGAGAUGCGAAACUCUUAAGAAAGCUCCACAGAGAUAAGGAAAUUCUGUUACCCACGCUAAACUCUGGUGGGAACCAGAUGUCCUGCAGCCCCAGCAGUUUUCGUGUCCAGUGAUUACCUUCCUUACUUGCUGCAUGGCACAUCAAGAAGCCUGUCCAGUGGCAUAUCCAACGUAACAACCCAUCACACCUGCUGCUUCCGGAGCUCCACACCACUGUGAGGACGUGAAGAUAAGUUGGGGAGAUGCAGUCUCACCCCAGCCCACCAGGCCUGCACAGGACAGUUCCUAGACAGUGGGUGGGUGCUGGGGCCAGCCCAUGCAGAGGCUGGGAAACUAACAGAGCCUCAGCUCUACACACAAGCGUGUCAGGGUCUCUGUACUCAUCAGAUGUGAGAGCAGGAGACCAGAUCACCUAGGUGGCAAUCAAACAGCCUUGGUUCAAAUCCCAGAACUGCCACUGGCCAAUGGGCCACCUCACCACCUGGAUGUGUUUCAAUCAUUCAGUUUUAUACCCUGAACAGGGCUACUCAAAGUGGGGUUCACAGACCAGCGUGCAAGUGAAAAGGUUGACAGAGGGGAGCCCAGCUCCAUCGGAAGCACAUGCUUAGCUCAGGCCACACUGUCCUGAUUCCAAGACCUUCUUGGCUGACCCUGAAGACAAGCACCUCACUCCCUUGGGACCUGUCCAGUGGUGCCGACAGUCAGCUGUUCUGAGCGUCUGUCUCACAACACCAGGGUCGCUCCCACUCCACCCCACCACACCAUCUCCAGCCCUGCCCAAGCUGUGGCUUGCAGUCAGCAGGCAGCACUGGCACUCCUGACAGGGCUGUGGCAGAGAAUGAAAUUCCCAGCUCCCUGCGCAGAGCCUGGGUGAAGAGCUGAGGUCAUACCUGACUCAGCAGGUGGGGCCUCCUGCUUCUGAGAAGAGGGGGUUCCUGACCCAGUGAAUCAGGUAUGCAAGCUGUCGGGACACUGCACGGCACCAGUGUGACCACCUCCUCGGUACAGCGCUCUGCUGAGACCUGCAGCAAAUGGCUUAGCACCCAGUUUCAACCAAAACAAAGGCCACUGCCACUUGCUAGAAGGAGAGAUUUGAUCAUGGUGCGCCAGGUCGCCGGUGCACAGCUGACCUGACAUCUGGAGGAUGUUAAAACUUUCUGGCUGCCCCUCUUACUAUCACACUUAAGAGUAGGGAACAUCUUACACUUUGAGAUCCCACACACCUUCCAAGGGUAGUCGUCACCAUCAUCUGGCCAGACAUGAACUGCCUGAUAGGAAACGGCACCGGCUAGAAACUGAAUGUGAUGAUCCAGAGGGCCAGGCUCACCAGGGCACCAGAGACCCUCAAAUCCAAGACUGACAUGCAAGCUCAUUCUAUACGUUAAAACUAAAAGUCUUUCACAAGUUAUUUGUAAAGGAAACUGAUGGCAGUUACAUUGGCUGUGAGGACUGUUUGUGAGAACCCAAAUCUCUCUCUCUUUUUUGUUUCGUUUUGUUUUUGUUUUUUUGUUUUUUUGAAAUAGGAUCUCACUAUGCAGUUCAGGCUGACCUUGAGCUCACUUUGUAGCACAGGCUGGUCUGGAACUCCCAAUGAUCCUCCUGCCUCAGCCUCCUAAGUGCUGGGAUUAAAGGUGUGCUCCACCACGCCUGGCCAGAACCUAAAUCUCUAUCAGGUGGGAAAUGAGUGAAGCUGUGCUGAGCCAGGCAAAUGAGAAGCAGCAGCUCCAGAGAAAGCCAUCAAUCUGUAUGCAAUGGCCAUGGGAAGAAAUACGCAUUUCAAACAGAAAAAUGCAACUUAAUGGGCAACUCA